rnacentral:sRNA from 1 species
CCUCUUCAACCAACUGCGGGCAAAUAAAAUGCACAUGGGCAUCGAUGGCGCCGGCGGUCAGGAUAUGGCCCUCACCGGCGAUGACCUCGGUACCCGGGCCAAUCACGAUCUCGACACCGGGCUGGGUGUCCGGGUUACCAGCCUUGCCAAUAGCCGCGAUGCGACCAGCCUUCACGCCCACAUCUGCCUUGACGAUGCCCCACCAAUCGAGGAUCAGGGCGUUGGUGAUCACCGUGUCCAUGACCUCGGCAUCAUGGCGCUGGCUCUGGCCCAUGCCAUCACG